GGGAGAUCACGUUGCAAGCUCAACGAGGUUUGAAAUUGCAAGAACAACAAUAUUGUCAAGUUACAGCAGUCUGCUGGCAACAAUUUCUUCAUGUCACCUCCGUUAAAGUGCUGCUGGUGGAGAAUGAUGAUUCUACACGACACGUUGUCUCCGCUUUACUUCGAAAUUGCAAUUACGAAGUUAUAGAAGCAGCCAAUGGAUUGCAAGCUUGGAAGAUCCUGGAAAACCUGACCAAUCACAUUGAUCUAGUGUUGACAGAGGUUGUAAUGCCUUGCUUGUCAGGCUUAGGUCUCCUUACCA
rnacentral:misc_RNA from 1 species